CAGGUUUUGAUAAAUGUCACUCCAUAUGAUUCGUGCCAGAGUGCGGGUUCACAUUUCUGGGCACGUCGUGUUGCCUAAAAAUAGGGUACUGAAACCUGUACAGCUAGUUUCUGGAUGUCCUUACUUUUUGCCCUUCAUUAAUAUGGCCGCUCAACAUGCUAAUAUGGCGCUGCUCACGGCGCACACGUGGCGAUCUGUUUGUUUACAUCCCUCUCCGCCUCUGAUUUUGAUUUCACUUAUUCUUCACCUGAACGAUCGUACAAAUGGCGUCUCUGCAUCAUCGAACCCUUCUCCCUGAUCACAGAAUACGUCCAGAGGAGAGAAUGAGAAGCCCUUGAUGCGGUGCAGAGAGUUCUUAAGAUGCCGUGAAAACUAUGUGCAGAUAAAUAUAGUUUGAAUUGCGAGACUUUGUGACCUGAACCGCUGACAUUACAAUGGAGUCAUCAAUUAGAGAGGCUGAAGAAUUAUCCCUCGCUGCGUUCUGCACAGAGCCGAGGAUUGUUGGCUCCUUCCCACCUUACGGGAUCAGAACUGAGUGACCUGUAGAUAGAAUUAUUGUUUAUAUCUAAUGUUAUACGCGGGGCCGUGAAAGCUAUGCACCCCGGUGUGGGAGUCACACUGGGAAAACCACAAGAUUCACCCACCUCUCAUUCCUACUAUAAUUAUAUAUUAAUAUUAAAUAUUUUAUUUAAGAAAAAAAUUAUUCCAUUUAUUUUAAUUUUUAAAUUUUUUUUUUUUUAAAUACGUUUCUGUGGGACCGCUGUGUAAAGUAAUAGAUUUUCUCAGAAACAUGUUGUCUUUAUAAACCUAUCGCCCAAUUUAGAAUACAAAUUGAGAGACUGAUCUAUUUACUAUAGCAACAGUAUAUUCUGCAUGAAUCCAACCCCUUGUAGAUGGCCGUCCAUCAUGGUGUGAUGACCAGCAUACAUGCCAUGCUGAGGGCAAGGGGUACGACUAUUGUAUCCAUGGUGGACAGCAGCAAUAAUGCAAAGCGGCUGCGUCGUUUCGAUGGCGUAAAUCGGAGACACCGCAGAUCUCUGCCAUUUAACCCUUAGUAGGGUGUGAUCAAUGCUGAUAGACAAUGACCAUUAAUCCCACAUGGUAUAUACCAGUAUUUUAUAGUUAAAAAAAAUAAAUAAAUACAUUAAAAUAAAAUGAAAUGUAAUGAAAAAAAGUAAAAUUAAUAUAAAAAGUUUAUUUUUUAUUUUUAUUAUAUAUAA